AAUCAACGCUGGCGGCGUGCCUCAGACAUGCAAGUCGAACGCGAAAGUUUCCUUCGGGAAACAAGUAGAGUGGCGCACGGGUGAGUAACACGUAGGUAAUCUACCUUCGGAUGGGGAAUAACAAUCGGAAACGAUUGCUAAUACCGCAUAAUGCAGCGGCACCUAAUGGUGACAGUUGUUAAAGCGGGGGAUCGAAAGACCUCGCGUCUGAAGAGGAGCCUGCGGCGGAUUAGCUAGUUGGUAAGGUAAUGGCUUACCAAGGCUACGAUCCGUAACCGGCCUGAGAGGGCGGUCGGUCACACUGACACUGACAUACGGGUCAGACUCCUACGGGAGGCAGCAGUCGGGAAUUUUGGGCAAUGGGCGAAAGCCUGACCCAGCAACGCCGCGUGAAGGAUG
rnacentral:rRNA from 1 species